rnacentral:rRNA from 1 species
GUGAGGAAUCUUCCGCAAUGGACGAAAGUCUGACGGAGCAACGCCGCGUGAGUGAAGAAGGUUUUCGGAUCGUAAAGCUCUUUCGUUAGGGACGAACGUGCUCUUUGUGAAUAAUGAGGAGUAAUGACGGUACCUAAAUAAGAAGCCACGGCUAACUACGUGCCAGCAGCCGCGGUAAUACGUAGGUGGCAAGCGUUGUCCGGAAUUAUUGGGCGUAAAGCGCGCGCAGGCGGGAUAUCAAGUCUGUCUUAAAAGUGCGAGGCUCAACCUCGUGAGGGGACAGAAACUGGUAUUCUUGAGUGUCGGAGAGGAAAGUGGAAUUCCAAGUGUAGCGGUGAAAUGCGUAGAGAUUUGGAAGAACACCAGUGGCGAAGGCGACUUUCUGGACGAUGUCUGACGCUGAGGCGCGAAAGCUAGGGGAGCGAACGGGAUUAGAUACCCGUGUAGUCC